UCAAUACCAAAAUCCUUUUCCAUUAAUUUUAUUGUGGAUGUGUUUUUCUUGGAUGGUUUUCUUUAUGAUAAAUAACUAUCUAUAUGGAUAAAAUUGAAAUUAUUACUACAGCUGAAUAGCUUCAGUUUCCUUUCCACAUCUCAUUAGGAGCUUCAUUAGAAGAACAAAUUUAAUAUGUUAUUUCCUAAUCUUGCAAGAUAUCAGGU
rnacentral:lncRNA from 1 species